AUUGAACGCUGGCGGCAUGCCUUACACAUGCAAUUCGAACGGCACCACGGGUGCUUGCACCUGGUGGCGAGUGGCGAACGGGUGAGUAAUAUACCGGAACGUACCUUAUUGUGGGGGAUAACGCAGCGAAAGCUGCGCUAAUACCGCAUAAUCCCUAAGGGGGAAAGCGGGGGACCGUAAGGCCUCGCGCAAUUAGAGCGGCCGAUACCUGAUUAGCUAGUUGGUGAGGUAAAGGCAAACCAAGGCAACGAUCAGAAGCUGGUCUGAGAGGACGAUCAGACACACGUGGACUGCGACACUGCCCAGACUCCUACGGGAGGCAGCAGUGGAGAAUGUUCGACAAUGGGGGCAACCCUGAACCAGCAAUGCCUGGUGAGCGAAGAAGUCCUUCGGAUUGUAAAGCUCUUUUGUCAGGGAAGAAACAGCAUCUAUAACACAGUUUGCGAAUGACGGUACCUGAAGAAGAAGCACCGGCUAACUACGUGCCAGCAGCCGCCGUAA
rnacentral:rRNA from 1 species